rnacentral:rRNA from 1 species
CCUACGGGUGGCAGCAGUGAGGAAUAUUGGUCAAUGGACGCAAGUCUGAACCAGCCAUGCAGCGUGAAGGAAGACGGCUCUACGAGUUGUAAACUGCUUUUGUACGAGAGUAAACGCAGACACGCGUACCUGUCUGUAAGUAUUGUACGAAUAAGGAUCGGCUAACUCCGUGCCAGCAGCCGCGGUAAUACGGAGGAUUCGAGCGUUAUCCGGAUUUAUUGGGUUUAAAGGGUGCGUAGGUGGGUGGAUAAGUUAGAUGUGAAAGUCCGAGGCUCAACUUCGGAAUUGCCAUUGAUACUGGUCGUCUAGAGUACAGUUGCGGUAGGCGGAAUGUGUGGUGUAGCGGUGAAAUGCUUAGAGAUCAUGCAGAACACCGAUUGCGAAGGCAGCUUACCAAGCUACUUCUGACGUUGAGGCUCGAAAGCGUGGGGAGCAAACAGGAUUAGAUACCCUAGUAGUC